rnacentral:sRNA from 1 species
CUCUUGGGCGUUUCCUCCCUAAACUCAGGCCGUCGGGUUCGCCCGCGGCCUCUUUUUUUGCCU